ensembl:lncRNA
AUGGGAGAGAAGGAAAGUUUUCAUUCUUGUGUGCCAUGUCAGAACACAGGGAAGGAGAUGUUCACUCCCUGUUUGCAGUUUGUCAUCAACCAAUUGCAGCAACUGAAUAUUGGGAAGAAGGAAUUUCAGUACCUUUUUUUUCUAUUAUUUUAUUCAACAGCUACAAACAUUUCAUCACUGAAUUUAAGACAUAUGAGCAGAAAAGCCCUCCCCUGUUUUGAGCAUGUCCAGACUUCUAUGGAAAAGCAGCAGAAGCUCUCAUCUGUACAUAAGAGACUGAGGAAAGGAUGAAAAGUAAACUCCACAGGCACAAAGGUCUCCUACCGAAAAACAUCUGCUUUCAGAGAGCACUUCUCCAGCUGAGGAACUUUUAGGUGCUGAAACUCAUAAACAAAGAGAAUUUCAAACCACCGUCUGCUGCAGCCACUUCUGGGACAAAAAUGAUUUCUCACAUUUGUCACGCUUGAAUAGGACUGUGACUGAAUGAAAGGGAAACUCAAGAAGGAUUCUCUGUCUGAGUCAUUUUAAGACAGAAUGUAAGCUGGAGUUAUUAUCAGAGUUUAGGUUGAGUUGUAUACAUCUGAACACAGGUCUUUGAUCUGGCAUCUAAAACACAACACUGAGAACAGCUGAUCUGAGGGCACAGGUUACAAGGGAAAAAAGCUGUUUCACUUGUUAGAGCACAGCCACAUUUCUGCAAGCACUGCCCGGGAGGUCUAACGGAACACAUAUGAAUUCUGGAUACUACCUGUGUUACCUAUCUCCCUAUUUCUCUGUCCCUAUCAGUUUCAGAAACCCACAGGUAAUUUCAGGAAACCUGAGGUUGUGUUUUCUGUGUUCCAGAAGCCACACUGCAGGGGCUGAGAUGAAGGCUUGAUGCAGCCCAGUGAGACACAGCUGUCCAGACUGGGCUCUGCCCAGGGCUCACAUCUGGAUCAUCUCAACAUAGAGAGAUGCCAAUUUUCCAAAAUGAGGAAACCAAAUUCCACCUGCGGCUCUGAAUCCCCCUCCAGCCCCCUUAGUUUCACAGUUAAUUAUGUCUUCAGUGUUUCACUAGAAACACAUCAACUUUUUGUUUUAUCCUAAGUCCUGCUUCAGAGUGGAUUUCAGGGCCAGCACUACAUGUGUCCGAAAAUCUUCCUUUCUAGUACCUUAGUUCCAUGCCUUUCCUCCUCCUUUUGUCCCUUUCAUCCUCAUCCCCAAGCUUUGCUGGCACUGGAAGCCAAAGAAACUAAUCCAUCACAAGCUAUUUGACACGAAAGCAAUUCACAGUCUCUCAGCUCCUGGCAUGUGGACAAGUGUGUUGGAGGAUGACCUAACAUUUAAAUAAUGAUUCACCAUUGAAUACUAUGAGAAAUGGCUGGCAAUUUCAAGGUAAUGCCCUUCCAAAGACAUACAGUAUUCUUUACUAACAUAACUGUAUGUUCACUUGGAGAAUCUUAAAUAAAGUUUAUACUUUGCAGUUAAUUUAGUGAAAUUCCAAGUUAAAUUACUUC